AGAAGCUUAAGGCAUCUUUUUAUUUUUAAAAGACCUUUUUCGGAAGGUAUGCUUAAAGAGGGGCUUGCGUCACAUUAGUUAGUUGGCAGGGUAAAGGCCUACCAAGACUAUGAUGUGUAGCUGGACUGAGAGGUUGAACAGCCACAUUGGGACUGAGACACGGCCCAAACUCCUACGGGAGGCAGCAGUAGGGAAUUUUCGGCAAUGGAGGAAACUCUGACCGAGCAACGCCGCGUGAACGAUGAAGUAUUUCGGUAUGUAAAGUUCUUUUAUUGAAGAAGAAAAAAUAGUGGAAAAACUAUCUUGACGAUAUUCAAUGAAUAAGCCCCGGCAAACUAUGUGCCAGCAGCCGCGGUAAUACAUAGGGGGCGAGCGUUAUCCGGAAUUAUUGGGCGUAAAGGGUGCGUAGGCGGUUUAAUAAGUCUAUAGUUUAAUUUCAGUGCUUAACACUGUCCUGCUAUAGAAACUAUUAGACUAGAGUGAGAUAGAGGCAAGUGGAAUUCCAUGUGUAGCGGUAAAAUGCGUAAAUAUAUGGAGGAACACCAGAGGCGUAGGCGGCUUGCUGGGUCUUUACUGACGCUGAGGCACGAAAGCGUGGGGAGCAAACAGGAUUAGAUACCCUGGUAGUCCACGCCGUAAACGAUGAGUACUAAGUGUCGGGAUUACUCGGUACUGAAGUUAACACAUUAAGUACUCCGCCUGAGUAGUACGUACGCAAGUAUGAAACUUAAAGGAAUUGACGGGACUCCGCACAAGCGGUGGAUCAUGUUGUUUAAUUCGAAGAUACACGAAAAACCUUACCAGGUCUUGACAUACUCUGCAAAGCUAUAGCAAUAUAGUGGAGGUUAUCAGGGAUACAGGUGGUGCAUGGUUGUCGUCAGCUCGUGUCGUGAGAUGUUAGGUUAAGUCCUAAAACGAGCGCAACCCUUGUCAUUAGUUGCCAGCAUGUCAUGAUGGGCACUUUAAUGAGACUGCCAAUGAAAAAUUGGAGGAAGGUGAGGAUCACGUCAAAUCAUCAUGCCCCUUAUGAUCUGGGCUACAAACGUGAUACAAUGGCUGUUACAAAGAGUAGCUGAAACGCAAGUUUAUAGCCAAUCUCAUAAAAGCAGUCUCAGUUCGGAUUGAAGUCUGCAACUCGACUUCAUGAAGUUGGAAUCGCUAGUAAUCGCGAAUCAGCAUGUCGCGGUGAAAUUUAAACCC
rnacentral:rRNA from 2 species